rnacentral:rRNA from 1 species
CCUACGGGAUGCAGCAGUGGGGAAUAUUGCACAAUGGGCGCAAGCCUGAUGCAGCCAUGCCGCGUGUAUGAAGAAGGCCUUAGGGUUGUAAAGUACUUUCAGUUGGGAGGAAGGCGUUGAUGCUAAUAUCAUCAACGAUUGACGUUACCAACAGAAGAAGCACCGGCUAACUCCGUGCCAGCAGCCGCGGUAAUACGGAGGGUGCAAGCGUCAAUCGGAAUUACUGGGCGUAAAGCGCACGCAGGCGGUUGAUUAAGUUAGAUGUGAAAUCCCCGGGCUUAACCUGGGAAUGGCAUCUAAGACUGGUCAGCUAGAGUCUUGUAGAAGGGGGUAGAAUUCCAUGUGUAGCGGUGAAAUGCGUAGAGAUGUGGAGGAAUACCUGUGGCGAAGGCGGCCCCCUGGACAAAGACUGACGCUCAGAUGCGAAAGCGUGGGGAGCAAACAGGAUUAGAUACCCCCGUAGUC